rnacentral:tRNA from 4 species
GGGUGAUUAGCUCAGUUGGCUAGAGCAUCUCGUUUACACCGAGAGGGUCUGGGGUUCGAGUCCCUAAUCACCCACCA